rnacentral:rRNA from 1 species
AGAAUCAACGCUGGCGGCGUGCCUAACACAUGCAAGUCGAGCGCGAAAGGGGAGCAAUCCCCAAGUAGAGCGGCGAACGGGUGAGUAACGCGUGGGUAAUCUACCUCCGAGUGGGGAAUAACAGCGGGAAACUGCUGCUAAUACCGCAUGACAUCGUCGAGCCUUCGGGUUUGACGAUCAAAGCCGGGACCGCAAGGCCUGGCGCUUGGAGAGGAGCCCGCGUCCGAUUAGCUAGUUGGCGGGUAAUGGCCCACCAAGGCUCCGAUCGGUA